UGGGGAUUAUUGCACAAUGGUCGCAAGCUUGAUGCAGUCAUGCCGCGUGUGUGAAGAAGGCCUUCGGGUUGUAAAGCACUUUCAGCGGGGAGGAAGGCGAUAAGGUUAAUAACCUUGUCGAUUGACGUUACCCGCAGAAGAAGCACCGGCUAACUCCGUGCCAGCAGCCGCGGUAAUACGGAGGGUGCAAGCGUUAAUCGGAAUUACUGGGCGUAAAGCGCACGCAGGCGGUCUGUCAAGUCGGAUGUGAAAUCCCCGGGCUCAACCUGGGAACUGCAUUCGAAACUGGCAGGCUAGAGUCUUGUAGAGGGGGGUAGAAUUCCAGGUGUAGCAGUGAAAUGCGUAGGGAUCUGGAGGAAUACCGGUGGCGAAGGCGGCCCCCUGGACAAAGACUGACGCUCAGGUGCGAAAGCGUGGGGAGCAAACAGG
rnacentral:rRNA from 1 species